UUUUUUUGAUUUUUUGUUAAAUUUGGUCAAACUGUGGUCAAACUUCUUAUUCUAGAACUACUAGUGUUACUAAAUAAUUAUUCAAGAAUAUUAGUGUUACUAAAUAAUUAUUUUAGUUUUUUUGAAUUUUGGUCAAAUCUGGUCAAACUGUGGUCAAACAACGGUCAAACUACUUAUUCAAGAAAUAUUAGUGUUACUAAAUAAUUAUUGUUUUUUAGUUAGUUUCAAACUCAAACAGUGAAAUGUGUGACUUCAUGCUCAAGCUAAACUCCUGAGGGUUAAUAGGAUUGACAUCUUUCUAUUGUCAGGAAAACAACAAGUGCAGACUUGGAAACGAGGGGGAAUAGAACCCGGAAGUUAAGCGUGCUCAGGCUGGAGUAGUGAGAGGAUGGGUGACCGGCCGGAAAGUUAGAUGAUUUGGAAUGAUNNNNNNNNNNGAUAAAAACUUCAAAAAUAGAAUCCUUCCAGAUGUAGUUAUAUUACUAAAUCUACUAGUUAGGAAAAUUAAAAAACUUAAAUUUGGACAUGUUUUGCAAAAAAGUGUUAUGAAAAAGUAAAACGGCUAUAACUAUUGCAUAUGAUGUUGGAAAAAAAUGUAUAAUAUAUUAAAAUGUUCAGCACGAAAAUCCGCAUCCGAUUUUGACCGUCGUAGGCCGUUUUGCAAAUUUUACAAUCCUCAAAUUCUAGAAGAAAAAAGUUAUGAUCAAAUUUCAGUUUUUUUGAUUUUUGUUAAAUUUGGUCAAACUGUGGUCAAACUUCUUAUUCUAGAACUACUAGUGUUACUAAAUAAUUAUUCAAGAAUAUUAGUGUUACUAAAUAAUUAUUUUAGUUUUUUUGAAUUUUGGUCAAAUCUGGUCAAACUGUGGUCAAACAACGGUCAAACUACUUAUUCAAGAAAUAUUAGUGUUACUAAAUAAUUAUUGUUUUUUAGUUAGUUUCAAACUCAAACAGUGAAAUGUGUGACUUCAUGCUCAAGCUAAACUCCUGAGGGUUAAUAGGAUUGACAUCUUUCUAUUGUUAGGAAAACAACAAGUGCAGACUUGGAAACGAGGGGGAAUAGAACCCGGAAGUUAAGCGUGCUCAGGCUGGAGUAGUGAGAGGAUGGGUGACCGGCCGGAAAGUUAGAUGAUUUGGAAUGAUGAGGGGUGAUUAGAUAAUAAAUUGUAAAAUAAUUUAGAAAUUUGAAAAAAAUUAAAAAAUUAAAAAAAUUAAAAAAAUCGUAAAAUUUCCUUUAGUCCCGGUUGGUAAGACAGUGGCCACGUGGAGGGCCUUUAGUCCUGGUUCGAUAGAACCGGGACUAAAGGGGGGAGCCUUUAGUACCGACCCUUUAGUCCUGGUUCAGAACUCGGACUAAAGGCCCUCUGGAACUGGGACAAAUGUGUCUUUUUCUACUAGUGCCAAAGGUACAUAAUUUUACAUGAAAACUAGCAACUGAAUCACCUGAGUUUCAAAAUAAUUGAUUUUGACAUAUCCCCGGUCUUACCCCUAUUUGCAGUUGUUUGUGGAGCUGACGACGAAACAUGCUUCCAUGUUGCUCACCGAUGUACGUUUGCGAUGACCCUAUGGCAUGAGUUGAAGGAAGUGUGGAUCCUCCCUCCCAAGCAUGAAAUAACCUACACAGGAAGGGAUUGCGUUCUAGUCCUUCUAGAUAGAGUAAGUGAAGAUCUAAGACAAAAGUCUAUGCUAUUUUGGUGGCGUGUUUGGCAUCAUAGGAGUGAUGUGAUCUUCGCGGAAGUUAAAGCAAAUUUUUUGCAUUUUUCACGGCUUUUACCAAACUACCUUAUAAACCUCCACAUGAUUGUAGACGAAAAUUUCCAGAUCAAUCAUAAAGGAAAAAAGCCCUAUGAUUAAGGUACCAAAUUUGAAACUAAUGGUGAUACGGAGGAAAAAAGGUUGGCUAAAGCAUGAACUCAGAUGGGCCUAGGACAAUGUUGAUGGAUGUUUCAUGGAGGAGAGUAGCAGUGGAUCGUGAGACAAUGUGCUUUGGAGAUGACCCAUCUGCCUAGCAGGACUACUAAAAGCGUUGGAGAUGACCCAUCUGCCUUUAGUGAUUCAGAUGGACAACACGAUGGUAGACACAUGAUCUCUCCUCUUCUCAUAGAUCAAAAAAUGGAGUACUUGAGAGGGAACUUCGAGCCAUCAAGCAGGCAAGGAAAUAGAGAAGUUAAAACUUGCAAAGUAGAUAGAAUGGACAAUAGUUUAGCCAUAGUCUUGCCCAGUUUGGGUGUAGAUAGUUGCAUGGUGGUGUUAUGCAAGGGACAGUGGCAGCCUGCGUGUUGAGCGUGGACUUGGGCGAUUGUCAAAAUAUUUUUACCUCAGUUAAUUAAUACAACUCUCUAUUUAAUAAAAAGCGCAAACUUCAGCAUGGCAAAGGAAGAUCUGAACUACUAUAAGUCCUGAACUUGAGCAUGAUUUGUUUAAAUAAUAAAUUAUUCGAGAUUUUUCUUUUUCAUGAAGAAAUAACCAACUCUAUCAAAGUUCCAAAUGUAUGGACAAAGUUUAUUUGUUUCUUGGUAAUAAUCAUGGCAUGUGCGCAUCAUCCGAUGUAAUCAUAGAACAAAGUUCCUCACCUUCCCAAUUGGGAUGACGAUUUAACACCAAAGGAAUAAGUAAUAGCACACAUAGCUUUCACAUCAUACAGAAGUGCUGAUCCCAUUGUUUGUAUCGCCAAACUAAAUAUUCCAGCAAUUGAUACACUAUAAAAAGUUGAGGAACAGAACCAAUCUAGAACAUGUAAAAUCAGAUCUACAGAGCAUGAGCGACGUUUUGGGGAGAGGAACAAAACGGAUCUAGAACAUGGAAAAUCUAGAACCAAAAUUCAAGAAACACCCAUCUCUUUUUUUUUAGAAACAUGAACAAGCCAAGCCUGUUGACCCCUCUCUCCUUGUCAUAGGCUGUUGCAUGUCGCUCGUGCCAUAGGAGUUUUAAAUAAUCAUAUAUAUAUAUAUAUAUAUAUAUAUACCUAAUAUUAAAAGACGGAAGAUUUCAUGGUUCUCCAUACGUUAAUUACGUGUUUUACUCCGCAAUCAUCGGCCUAGGCCACACAUGUCGCUGAUUGGACCUUGGCUCACGCUGGCUCCUCGGCAAGCCUAGCUCGGCCACGCACGAAACAACCAGAAACGAACCUGUCUCAAAGAAAAAACCGAAACAAACCUGCACGCACACAAACCAUUAGGGCUGACUCAUAAAAAAACCACCUCACAUACGUGUCGCCGCCUAAUUCUAAAAUUCCAUCUCCUUGAUCCCCCGUCCUACGACCCUACGGGAGGCACCGCCGCAGGCAGGGGGCCCAACGGCCGCCACGAGGCUCCCCGGUCGACAUAGCCGUCCGUCCGUGCUCCGAGCCUGACGAUUCUCUGGCUUAUCACCGUUCUUUCGUGCCGCCCCCAGCGUUGCUCGCCGCCAGCCCAGAUCGGCGAAGUACGCAUCGCCCCACCAUGCCCCUCAUCAGAUCCCCGUCCUCCCGAUCACGCCAUGCCGUCGCAGGUCCUAUGCGUCAUCAGCCCAUGAUGCCGCCCCAAGCUCUAUGAACUAUUUGCCGAGGGAGUGCUUGGCCUGCACUGACAAGCUCAGCCAGAACGUCAUCGAGUCUGAUGUCGGACUCGACGUUAACCAUGGUCACUCACCCCAUAAGGUUUCUUUCUCCUCCUCCAUUAAAGGUUGUGCUACGCCCGAAGAAGAAGCAUGAUGCACUUAAUUGAUUCACCCAUUUGUGUUACCUUGCAAUGGUGCCUCUUCUCCCUCGCCUGCUCUGACAGUGGUGUUUUGGGCGUCCUUGACCAUGGCAGAAAGUCUCAAAGAAGGACGCCCGCAAGCACAAGGCGCUUCUGCCACAAGGGUCCAUGUUGCACGUGUAGCACGACACCCAUGGGAAGAAGACCAGUCCCUUUCUCUGGGAAAUAAUCUGAUAGUUUGCUCCUUUAAGUAUUGAGCGUGAGUUCAUUAACAACAACAAGAAGGGAGUGAGUAGAUGUGAGAGGAGCCGAGGAUGAUAAUUCAGGAAGAGGACCUGGUAUACCAUGUGAAACAUUACGACAAGAGGUGGCUUGCGAGAGAGAAAAAACAAAGAGACGGGGACAUCUAGCAAUCAACAGCGUGGCAAGGACGAGUACGACGGUGUCACCAGACAUGAACAGUGGCAAACAAGUCCAUGUAAUUAGUCACGUAUUCAUUAAUAUUUAGGCUUGCUAUAUAAAGCUACCAUGUCUCUAUGUAAGUUAAUUUUCAGUCCAUUGGUGUUUCCCUCAUUAUCAUCUUGCAGACUUUGUAUCUAUCAGUACAUGAAUUCAGUUUCUACAAUUUGUUUCAUCGAAACUACCGAUCGACUUCAUAGGGCGAAAGUUACGUGAUACUAAAGAGCCUAGCAAUGGUGGAAGGGUGAGAGUGCGUAUAAUCCAUGGACUCAACAUUAGUCAUAAAAAACUCACAUACUUAUUGCAAAAAUUUAUUAGUUAUCGAAACAAAGUAUUACGUGCAUGCUCCUAGGGGGAUAGAUUGGUAGGAAAAGACCAUCGCUCGUCCCCGACCACCACUCAUAAGGAAGACAAUCAAUAAAUAAAUCAUGCUCCGAUUUAAUCACAUAACGGUUCACCAUAUGUGCAUGCUAUAGGAAUCAUAAAUUUCAACACAAGUAUUUCUCAAAUUCACAAGUACUCAACUAGCAUGACUCUUAUAUCACCAUCUCCAUAUCUCAAAACAAUUAUUAAGUAUCAAACUUCUCAUAGUAUUCAAUGCACUUCUAUGAAAGUUUUUAUAUUAUAGAAAAUUUCCAUGUUGAUCUAAAGGACUCCCAAAAUAAUAUAAGUGAAGCAUGAUAUAUCAAUUAUUUCUAUAAAACAAAUCCACCACCGUGCUCUAAAAGAUAUAAGUGAAGAACUAGAGCAAAAACUAUAUAGCUCAAAAGAUAUAAGUGAAGCACAUAGAGUGUUCUAACAAAUUUCAAAUCAUGUGAGUCUCUCUCAAAAGGUGUGUAUAGAAAGGAUGAUUUUGGUAAACUAAAAAAAAGACUCAAAUUAUACAAGACGCUCCAAGCAAUACACAUAUAAUGUGGUGAAUAAAAAUAUAGCUCCAAGUAAAUUACCGAUAGACGAAGACGAAAGAGGGGAUGCCUUCCGGGGCAUCCCCAAGCUUAGGAUUUUUGGUGCCCUUGAAUUUUACCUUGGGGUGCCAUGGGCAUCCCCAAGUUUUGGCUCUUGCCACUCCGUGUUCCAUAAUCCAUCAAGACUUUUACCCAAAACUUGAAAACUUCACAACACAAAACUCAAAAUAGAAAAUCUUGUGAGCUCCGUUAGCGAAAGAAAAGAAAACACCACUUCAAGGUACUGUAAUGAACUCAUUAUUUAUUUAUAUUGGUGUCAAAACUACUGUAUUCAAAUUUCUCUAUGGUUUAUAAAAUCUUUUAUUAGCCAUAGAUUCAUCAAAAUAAGCAAACAACACAAGGAAAACAGAAUCUGUCAAAAACAGAACAGUCUGUAGUAAUCUGUAGCUAACGUAACUUCUGGAACCCUAAAAAUUCUAAAAUAAGUUUCUGGACGUGCGGAAUUUAUCUAUUAAUCAUCUUCAAAAAGAAUUAACUAAAUAUAACUUUCCAAAUAAAAAUGGCAGCAAUUCUCGUGAGCGCUAAAGUUUCUGUUUUUUACAGCAAGAUUAAAAAGACUUUCCCCAAGUCUUCCCAACAGUUCUACUUGGCACAAAAACUAAUUAAACACAAAAAAGACAACCAAAACAGAGGAUAGAUAAAUUAUUUAUUACUAAACAGGAGCAAAAAUAAAGGAAUAAAAAUAAAAUUGGGUUGCCUCCCAACAAGCGCUAUCGUUUAACGCCCCUAGCUAGGCAUAAAAGCGAUGAUAGAUCUAGGUAUUGCCAUCUUUGGUAGGCAAUCCAUAAGUGGAUCUCAUAAUAGAUUCAUAUGGUAAUUUAACUUUAUUUAUAGGUAAGUGUUCCAUGCCUUUCUUUAAUGGAAAUUAGAAUUUGAUAUUCCCUUCCUUCAUAUCAAUAAUUGCACCAAUCGUUCUAAGGAAAGGUCUACCAAGAAUAAGAGGACAUGAAGGAUUGCAAUCUAUAUCAAGAACAAUGAAAUCUAUGGGUACGUAAGUCCUAUUUGCAACAAUAAGAACAUCAUUAAUUCUUCCCAUAGGUUUCUUAAUAGUGGAAUCCGCAAGGUGCAAGUUUAAAGAACAAUCAUCAAAAUCACGGAAACCUAGCAAAUCACAUAAAGUUUUCGGAAUCGUGGAAACACUAGCACCCAAAUCACACAAAGCAUAGCACUAAUUAUCUUUAAUUUUAAUUUUUAUUGUAGGUUCCCACUCAUCAUAAAAUUUUCUAUGGAUAGAAACUUCCAACUCAAGUUUUUCUUCAUAAGAUUGCAUCAAAGCAUCAACGAUAUGUUUAGUAAAAUAGUGGGUUCAUUGCUAUUUAAAGUUUUGACCUCUUCAAUCCCACUUUUAUCAAUUUUUGCAUCAAGAUCUAAAAACUCUGAAUUUUUGGAAUGCCUUCUAGGUAAAGGUGGCUCAUCUUCAGUCCCAUCAUUAUCAAGAUUCAUAUUGCAAAAAAAGAUUUAAUAUGGGACACAUCAAUCACUUUUAUAUCUUCAUCCUUAUUAUCAUGAAAACUAGAAGAACACGCUUUCACAAAGCAAUCUUUCUUAGCACGCAUCCUAGCGGUUCUUUCUUUGCACUCAUCAAUGGAAAUUCUCAUGGCUUUGAGAGAAUCAUUGAUAUCAUGCUUAGGUGGAAUAGAUCUAAGUUUGAAAGAAUCAACAUCAAGAGAAAUUCUAUCAACGUUCCUAGCCAGCUCAUCAAUCUUAAGCAAUUUUCCUUCAAUCAAUGCAUUGAAACUCUUUUGCGAACUAAUAUAUUCUUUAAUAUUAGAUUCAAAAUCAGAGGGCAUCUUAUUAAAAUUUCCAUCAGAAUUGUUGUAGGAAUUACCAUAAUUAUUAGAGUAAUUACUAGGAAACGGCCUAGAAUUAAAAUUACCUAUAUACGCGUUAUUACCAAAAUUGUUCCUACCAACAAAAUUCACAUCCAGAGAUUCAUUAUUAUUCUCAAUCAAAGUAGACAAGGCCAUAUCAUUAGGAUCAGUAGGAGCACUCCUAUUAGCAAACAAUUUCAUAAGUUCAUCCAUCUUUCCACUCAAAACAUUAAUCUCUUCAAUUGCAUGCACUUUUUACUAGUAGAUCUUUCGGUAUGCCAUUGAGAAUAAUUAACCAUAAUAUUAUCUAGGAGUUUAGUAGCUUAUCCUAAAGUGAUUUCCAUAAAAGUGCCUCCCUCGGCUGAAUCUAAAAGAUUUCUAGAAGCAAAAUUCAAUCCGGCAUAAAAAUUUUGUAUAAUCAUCCAAAGAUUCAAACCAUGUGUAGGGCAAUUACGUAUCAUUAAUUUCGUCCUCUCCCAAGAUUGUGCAACAUGUUCAUGAUCAAGUUGCUUAAAAUUCAUAAUAUUAUUUUCUAAGAGAUAUGAUUUUAGUGGGAGGAAAAUUGUCGGUGUCAAAACCGGCGGAUCUCGGGUAGGGGGUCCCGAACUGUGCGUCUAAGGCGGAUGGUAACAGGAGGCAGGGGACAUGAUGUUUACCCAGGUUCGGGCCCUCUUGAUGGAGGUAAUACCCUACGUACUGCUUGAUUGUUCUUGAUAAUAUGAGUGUUACAAGAGUUGAUCUACCACGAGAUCAGAGAGGCUAAACCCUAGAAGCUAGCCUAGGGUAUGAUUGUAUGUUGUCCUACGGACUAAAUCCUCUGGUUUAUAUAGAGACCGGAGAGGGCUAGGGUUACACAAGGUCGGUUACAGAGGAGGAGAUAUAAAUAUCCGUAUUGCCUAGCUUUCCUUCCACGCCAAGUAGAGUUCCAUCCGGACACGGGACGAAGUCUUCAAUCUUGUAUCUUCAUAGUCCAGCAGUCCGGCCAAAGGAUAUAGUUCGGCUGUCCGGAGACCCCCUAAUCCAGGACUCCCUCAGUAGCCCCUAAACCAGGCUUCAAUGACGAUGAGUCCAGCGCGCAGUGUUGUGUUCGGCAUUGCAAGGCAGGUUCCUCCUCCGCAUACAUCAUGGAAGAGUUUUGAAUACAAGGAGAGUGUCCGGCCCUACAAAAUAAGUUCCACAUAGCACCGUAGAGAGAAUAAUAUUUCCACAAAUCUAAUCUGCUGACAUGUUUUGACAGCACGACAUUACGCCAUGGCCAAGUUAUUAUUCGAACCGCUUUUCUCAACUAGCUCUGCACAUAUUGCGAGGCGGUUUUCUUGACACGUCUUGUCAAAGCAGAGAUCGUGUUCCCCUUAUCAUGACAUUCUCAUCAAUACGGACGUGGGUAACCCAACCGCGCCAUUAAUUACGGCACCUAGGGAAUAAGCAGUUUUACCAAGCAAGUGGGGAGACACAUCGCCUCUUCCGCCCUUAUAAAGGGACAAGGAUUUACUUUUCUCACCCACGCCUUCUUCCUCCUCGCUUACCCAUUCGCGCACACUCGAGCUCUAGCGCCCAAGCUCGCGUUCUUCUUCUCAAGCCACUCCAAGCAUGUCUGGAGCAGGAGGCAAGUGGAUGGUCUCCUCCGUCACGGAGGAGAACAUCAAAAAGUUACGGGAAGCCAGAUAUCCGACUACGGAUAUCGUGCACCGGCUGCCAGAUGCGGGGCAGAUCAUCCUACGCCCGAACCCCAUGAGAGGGUAGUUUUUUCUGACCCACUUCGCCCGCGGACUGGGAUUUCCGCUCCACCCGUUCGUUCACGGGCUCAUGUUCUACUAUGGGUUGGAUUUUCAUGAUCUGGCCCCCAAUUUCAUCCUCAACAUCUCAGUGUUUAUCGUCGUGUGCGAGGCCUUCCUCCGCAUCAAGCCCCACUUUGGCCUAUGGCUGAAAACCUUCAAUGUUAAACCUAAGGUAGUGAGUGGCCAGCAAGCAGAGUGCUAAAGCGCCAUGGUGGGGAAGAUGCCUAAUGUCACCUGGCUCGAGGGCACCUAUGUGGAUACCAUAAAGGGGUGGCAAUCGGGGUCGUUCUACAUCACCCAGCCACGCGACUCCAACUGGGUGGCGGCGCCCAAAUUUCGAUCCGGAAUCCCCACGCGGCUCACCUCCUGGAAAGAGAAGGGCGUGUCCUGGGGUUCCUCGGUAGAGCUGACCGGACUCCAGACCUGCAUCCAGAACAUGACGAACAAGAAAAUCAAGCUUGUCAACGUGGUCCAGGUUAUGCUCUUCCGCCGGAUCCUUCCAUGUCAACGACGGGCAUUUGUUUUGUGGGAGUUCGACUCGGCCAAGCACCAGACACUGUGAGAGCUCUAUGACACGACACACGAGGAUGUCUAGAGGGUGCUAUUCAAGAGCGCCGAGAUUCCUCCCCCCUCAACGAGGACCGCGGACUGCGCGCAAAGCGCCGCGCCAAUCCGGUAGGAUUUUUAUAGCUCUCAGGGUAUCUAUUUCCCCCGGUUUAGUUGUGUGCAGGAUCUGAACUUCCAUGUCAUUAACAGGACUGGAUAGACACGGCGGAGCAGCUUGAUAGCCCAGCCCCGCUGCCCGAAGAUCCUGCAGACGCUCUUCUAACGAAGAUGCUGACUUUGGCACCCUAUGAGGUGCCGGAAAAGAAGACCAAGAAGAAGGCCGCGGGGACCCGAAAGGGUCUCCGGCGCAAGGUUGUAUCGUAGUCAUCAAACGAUGACUCCGACGCACACUCCUCCCAUGGAAACGAGGAGGAAGAGGAGAAAAGUUCUCCCCCCCCCCAGCCGGGGGAGACAAGAAAAGGAAGGCCGACCCAUCCGGGGAGGCCGAAGGGUCCAAGAAGGGAAGGACCGUCCCUCCGGACUAUGCCACGAUGGCCGCCGACAGCGGCGACGAGUGGCUACCCAGGGACAAGCCCCUAGCGAAGUCGUAAGUGUCCGGACACCAUAUUACUUCAUGGUAUGUUUUAUUGCACUGCCUCUCCUCAUGCCGAACAUGAUUAUGCAGUCCGUCCCGAGCUCAUCUUGACGUACCCUCGUCGAGCGGCUCUUUGGACUCGUCGGAUAUGAACAACGGUUCUCUUCCGACCGCUUCCACCCCUCGCCCUACAGACAACGCCGCGGUGUUGUCUCAAAAGGCACCGAGCCAAGGGGAGGUGGUCCUGGGGGCGCCUCACGGCGACUUCCCGGACCCUGGGUACCAAGGGAGCGAGGCUCCUACGGGCUUCGAGUUCGAGCCCCAGCCGGACACUGCGCCGGAACCUUCGAUGGUUCCGGAGUCCGGCAGGCGGUCCCCCGUCAAGGGGGGCCAACCAUCCGUGCCGGUGUCCUCUAUCCAACCAGAGGCACCGGACAACCUGCUAGAAGCGCUUUGCAGCGCUUCCAUCGAAGAAGAGCACCGCACUAUCAUGAGUGCGGUGGUCGACAAGGUUCAGUCCGCCAAAAACGGACUGACCGAAGCUUGCGCCAGCCUCCUAACAGGCUUUGAGGUAAGCAAUCAAAAUAUAAGAAAAUAUUACCGCAUAAAUAGUAGCCCCUGAUGCUCUGUUCGGAGUUCGCGAAGAAAAGCCGAAAAAAGGAUCAAAUGAUGACUCAGGAGUCUAAUUAGAGUAUGUCUAUGUGUAUGUGCAGGCUUCACUGCUGGCCACUGCCGCACGUACUGCGGAGGUCUCUGCGCUGAAGCAGGACCUGAAGCGGUCCGAGGACGAGCUCGGCCUUACCAAGAGGCAGCUCGAAGAGAGCAAUGGUAAGAAAUACCCAUGUCUAUAUAGUUAAAAAGAAGUUCAGGUGUAAAGUAAUAGGAUCAUCAUGGAUUUGUCAGGGGCCAUGACCGAGGUGGCGACCCUAAGGAACGCGUUGUUCGAGGCCGAAGACAAAGCGGCCAAAGAACGCAUUGAACGGGAGAAGCAAGAAGCCCAAGUAGGCGAGGUGCAGCAAGAGCUCGAGGCUCUCGCCAAAAAGCACGAGUCCUUGGAGCUCGACUCUAAGACGCGAGAGUCCGAUCUUGCGCAGGCGCUUGAAAGCGUAUGGAGCACCAAGGCCGAAGCCCACAAGGCCCUCCAGGAGAUUGAUGCGGUGAAUAAGAUAGCAACGGGUAGGGCAUUCAUUAUGCAAAGCAAGCACGUGAAGGAGACUUUCCUUUUUCUUACCCGAGUUCGGAGCUCUCCAGAAGCGUUUGCAGAUCUUCCCCGUAGUGUACUGGGUGCUGCGGAGUUUUACCGGGCUGAGGAGGGGAGCUCGACGGAGAUGUUGUUCUGGUCUCAGUAUACUGGGACCGAGCACCCCGUGCCUUUGAGAGACAUGCUGAAGCAGUUGGUCGAGCUUCACAAGGCGGCCGAACAGGCCAUGAGGGGCCUUAUAGUCCGGAUGUGGCCUGGCGAGCCCCUGUCCGGCAGCUACUUCGGUCUGGUGAGGCGGCUUGUGGAAGCCUGCCCACGGCUUGAAGUCAUCGAGUGGUCCGUCUGUAUCAAGGGUGCACGUAGGGCUUUUGCCUGGGCGAAGGUGCACUGGGCGAAGCUGGACGCCGUGAAGCUGGUGAAGGAGGGGCCGCCGGAGGGCAAGGAGCAUCGCUGCCCCGAGAAUUAUUAUGAGAGUGUCCUGAAUGGUUCUCGUCUAAUGGCAGAUGAGUGUGCCAAGGAUGUAAUUUUUGAAUGAACAUGCUCAUGUGAUCAUGUAAUAUGAAACGAGUUCAUUUGUGCCAUGCGACCCUUCCUUAAUUUAAAAUAUUACCAUCUGUGCAGCCGUUUAUAAAAUCUGAGAGUUAGCCAGUCGUUGGCUUCUAUCCCCAUGUAACUAGUACUGGGGUGUUCGGGAUAAACCUGAACACUCUUUACCCCAAUUUUGGGUCCUUCAAGGGAGGUGUUCAGCGCAACGAACCAGGCAAUCGGACUAUAAUGCUUUAUCACUCUCACUUAGCCAUAGAACUCUAUGAUUUUAAAUUUUGGCGAAGCCCCUGGUAUUCGGAGGGCCGAAUUUGGGGCGCUAUACUCGCCUAAGCCAGACAAGGCCGACUCCUCGCCCAAAGCGGAAAAAGUCUUUAAGGACUUGAGACCUCUCGAACAGCGACAAGUCUCUCGCCUUAUCAUGACAGUCAGUUUUUGGCUUUCUCUACUGAGGUGCUCGUCCGGAAGAACCGGGAAACAAUCGCAGUAGUUCUCCUACCGCUACCUUAGCCGAUAUAGCGGAACGUAAGGUACCAAAGCAUGGGAACCGGGCAACCCAACAUUUGACCAAAGACAUGAUUCGGAGCUGAUGGAUAUAAUGCUAUAAGUUCAGGGUGCCGCACUGUCGAAAGUGUUUAGAGUUCUUCCGCCAUAUUAUGGGGUAAACGAGAACCCCUGGCGAACUGACUGUACCCGAACGUGCGGUUGCGGAUUGUCGUAAGUGGACAUAUAAGGGAAAGAGAAAAACUUAAAUAAUGCAAUGACAGGUUAAUGAUAUGCAUUGUUAUGUGAAUAAUACGUCGAAGCGUACUUGGUACAGGUAGUGCAAUAAGCAUAAAGUAGGACAAUUCGAAAUGUCCUAUCCCAGGGCAAGCUACGCAUAAAUAGUGAAAAGCGGGUAUAUCAAUUAUUACUAGAGACCACCUGGCGGUUCCCGUGUUCAUCUUAGCUUCUUGCCGCCUUGGUUGUUGCUUCCGGAAUGUGUCCGGCAAUCGUACUGCCGGAAAGGGCUUCCAGAGAGUUAGGCCCUGAAAGAGAGAAGGAAUGACAAAGGUAUACAUCCCCUAGUGCGGUUAAGCCACAAUGCGGGGCAUGUCCUGAUCGUGCCCCCGCCUAUGUCCAUGGUAUUUUCAAUGCGUAGUUAUGUACGCGCGGCACGGAUUUCGUCACUUCACUGGGACUGGGAUGGGGGCCGAACUGCAAGGCGAGCUCUGAUCGUGCCAGGCGAUCCUGUUGCAGCUUGUUCCAGACUCGCUUGAAGGUGUCCCCGGGCUGUGACGCCGAAUGAGUGGUGUGCCUGAACAUGCUGCUUUGUGCUUCUGCUGCAAGGGCCGCCGUAUGCUCUUCCGUAUGGAGCGAGUGUUCUGUGUUUCCAUUUACUGUUAUGACCCCGCGAGUGAAGGAAAUAUGCCCUAGAGGCAAUAAUAAAGUUAUUAUUUAUUUCCUUAUAUCAUGAUAAAUAUUUAUUAUUCAUGCUAGAAUUUUAUUAACCGGAAACAUAAUAUAUGUGUGAAUACAUAGACAAACAAAGUGUCACUAGUAUGCCUCUACUUGACUAGCUCGUUGAUCAAAGAUGGUUAUGUUUCCUAACCAUAGACAUGAAUUGUCAUUUGAUUAACGGGAUCACAUCAUUAGGAGAAUGAUGUGAUUGACUUGACCCAUUCCGUUAGCUUAGCACUUGAUCGUUUAGUUUGUUGCUAUUGCUUUCUUCAUAACUUAUACAUGUUCCUAUGACUAUGAGAUUAUGCAACUCCUGUUUACCAGAGGAACACUUUGUGUGCUACCAAAUGACACAAUGUAACUGGGUGAUUAUAAAGGUGCUCUACAGGUGUCUCCGAAGGUACUUGUUGGGUUGGCGUAUUUCGAGAUUAGGAUAUGUCACUUCGAUUGUCGGAGAGGUAUCUCUGGGCCCUCUUGGUAAAGCACAUCACUCAAGCCUUGCAAGCAUUGCAACUAAUAAGUUAGUUGCGGGAUGAUGUAUUACAAGACGAGUAAAGAGACUUGCUGGUAACGAGAUUGAACUAGGUAUUGAGAUACCGACGAUCGAAUCUCGGGCAAGUAACAUACUGAUGACAAAGGGAACAACGUACGUUGUUAUGCGGUCUGACCGAUAAAGAUCUUCAUAGAAUAUGUAGGAGCCAAUAUGAGCAUCCAGGUUCCGCUAUUGGUUACUGACCGGAGACGUGUCUCGGUCAUGUCUACGUAGUUCUCGAACCAGUAGGGUCCGCACGCUUAAAGUUCGGUGACGAUCGUAAUUAGGGUUUUUGUGUUUUGAUGUACCGAAGGUUGUUCGGAGUCUCGGAUGUGAUCACGGACAUGACGAAGAGUCUUGAAAUGGUCGAGACAUGAAGAUUGAUAUAUUGGAAGCAUAUAUUUGGAUAUCGGAAACAUUCCGGGUGAAAUCAGGAUUUUACCGGAGUACCGGGGUGUUACCGGACCCCCCCCCCCCCGGGGGGGGGGGGUUAUUGGGCCUACAUGGUCCAUAAGGGAGAAGAGGAGGGCCGGCCAGGGCAGGCCGCGCGCCCCCUCCCCCCUAGUCCGAAUAGGACAAGGAAGGGGGGGCUUUCCUCUUUCUCCCUUCCUCCUUCCUUUUCCAACAAGGCAAGAGGGGGGAGUCCUACUCUCGGUUGGAGUAGGACUCCUCCAGGCGCACCCCUAGGGCCGGCCGCACCUCCCCCUCUCCCUCCUUUAUAUACCGAGGCAAGGGGGCACCCCAUGACACACAAGUUGAUCCUCGUGAUCGUUCCUUAGCCAUGUGCGGUGCCCCUUCCACCAUAUUCCACCUCGGUCAUAUCGUAGCGGUGCUUAGGCGAAGCCCUGCGUCGGUAGAACAUCAUCACCGUCAUCAUGCCAUCGUGCUGACGAAACUCUCCCUCAACGUUUUGCUAGAUCGGAGCUCGAGGGACGCCACCGAGUUGAACGUGUGCAGAACUCGGAUGUGCCGUACAUUCAGUACUUGGAUCGGUCGAAUCGGGAAGACAUACGACUACUUACUCUACGUUGUGUCAACGCUUCCGUUGCCGGUCUACGAGGGUACUUAGACAACACUCUCCCCUCUCGUUGCUAUGCAUCACCAUGAUCUUGCAUGUGCGUAGGAAAAUUUUGAAAUUACUACGUUCCCCAACAGCGAGGUCCUGGCAUCUUGAGCUUGAGGUAUGCGUAAUGCGGCACAGCAUUGAAUUUUGCAAAUGUUGUCCGUCCGAGUAGUGCAUGAUAGCCACUGCGAAACGGCACGAUGUCGGAGAUUAACUCUUCGCUUCGGAAGUUGUCCGGUGAUCCGAAGACCACUUUUAGUGUGAUUGAGCAUGUGCAAUGGGCCUCUACACCUGGGAUGACGCCUUUAAAGGUGGUUUUGCUGGGUUUGAUCCUCGGGGGAUCGAUUCCCAUUUUUCGCACUAUAUCCUGAUAAAGCAGGUUUAGGCUACUGCCGCCGUCCAUAAGGACUCAAGUGAGGUGAAAUCCGUCAAUGAUGGGGUCUAGGACCAGUGCGGCGGAUCCGCAAUGACGGAUGCUAGUGGGGUGGUUCCUGCGAUCGAAGGUGAUUGGGCAAGCAGACCACGGGUUGAACUUUGGGGCGACGGGCUCCAUCGCAUAGAUGUCCCUUAGUGCACGCUUCUGCUCCCUGUUGGGAAUGUGGGUUGCGUAUAUCAUGUUCACCAUCUUCACUUGUGGGGGAAACCCCUUCUGUCCUCCUGUGUUCGGCGGCCGGGGCUCCUCCUCGUCGUCCCUAUGCAGCCCCUUGUCCUUGUUUUCGGCAUUUAACUUGAUGGCCUGCUUGAACACCCAGCAUUCUCUAUUGGUGUGAUUGGCUGGCUUGUCGGGGGUGCCAUGGAUUUGACACGAGCGGUCUAGUAUGCGAUCUAGACUGGACGGAGCCGGAGUAUUUCUUUUAAAUUGCUUUUUCCGCUGAUCGGAUCUAGAGCCUCUGAAUCCGGCAUCGACUGGCGGUUAAGUCGUCGACAGUGGCUACUAAGUGGGUGGUGGGUGGGCAGCGAAUUUCUUCGUCGUCCGCAUCCCAUUCUAGCCUGACAUAGUUCGGCCAAAGUUCUCCAGACAGGGAGAGAGACCUUAAUGAAUUUAGAACAUCUCCGAAAGGUGAGUGCUGAAAGAUAUCCGCAGAGGUGAACUCCAUGAUCGACGCCCAGUCGGAUUCAACGGGCACGGAUGUGAGCGGCUCGGAGUCCGUGGCCGGAGACGAACCCAGUGGUUCGGCGACACAGCUCUCGUAAGGGGUGAAGUCAGUAUUUGGCUCUAUCGCCACUGAUAGUGCGGCCUCCAUGGCGGGGUCUAUCCCUCCGCUCUCGGAUGGCGCGAUUUGCCCCGGAGUAACGGCCAGAGCAGUUGCGGAUGCGAUCUCCCGAACAUCGUCCGACGGCAGAGUUACGUCAUGCUCGUCGCGACUGUGCGGCGCGUCCGACAUGGGCUCAAAUCCGUCGAAGAUCAAGUCUCCGCAGAUGUCGGCCUUGUAGUUCAAGUUUCCAAAUCUGACCUGAUGGCCAGGGGCGUAGCUCUCGAUCUGCUCCAGAUGGCCAAGCGAAUUGGCCCGCAGUGCGAAGCCGCCGAAUACGAAGAUCUGUCCGGGGAGGAAAACCUCACCCUGGACCGCAUCGUUACCGAUGAUCGAAGGAGCCAUCGAACCUUAUGGUGACGGCAUAGUGGAACUCUCAAUGAAAGCACCAAUGUCGGUGUCAAUACCGGCGGAUCUCGGGUAGUGGGUCCCGAACUGUGCGUAUAAGGCGGAUGGUAACAGGAGGCAGGGGACACGAUGUUUGCCCAGGUUCGGGCCCUCUUGAUGGAGGUAAUACCCUACAUCCUGCUUGAUUGUUCUUGAUAAUAUGAGUGUUACAAGAGUUGAUCUACCACGAGAUCAGAGAGGCUAAACCCUAGAAGCUAGCCUAUGGAUGAUUGUAUGUCAUCCUACGGACAAAAUCCCGCGGUUUAUAUAGACACCAGAGAGGGCUAGGGUUACACAAGGUCGGUUAUAGAGGAGGAGAUAUACAUAUCCGUAUUGCCUAGCUUGCCUUCCACGCCAAGUAGAGUGCCAUCCGGACACGGGACGAAGUCUUCAAUCUUGUAUCUUCAUAGUCCAGUAGUCCGGCCAAGGGAUAUAGUCCGGCUGUUCGGAGACUCCCUAAUCUAGGACUCCCUCAAAAAUACUUAGAGAUAAAAGCAUCUUUGCACUUAUUCCAUGAAUCAAUACUAUUUUUAAGCAAAGACGAAAACAAAUCUUUAGCACGAUCUCUAAGCGAAAACGGAAAUAGCUUAAGUUUAACAAUAUCAUUAUCCACAUCUUUCUUCUUUUGCAUAUCACACAAAUCAACAAAGUUAUUUAGAUGGGUAGCGGCAUCUUCACUAGGAAGGCCAGAAACGGAUCUUUCAUGACAAGAUUCAGCAAAGCAGUAUUAAUUUCACAAGAUUCAGCAUCGGUAAGAGGAGCAAUCGGAGUGCACAUAAAAUCAUUAUUGUUGGUAUUGGCAAAAUCACACAAUUUAGUAUUAUCUUCAGCCAUCGUGACAAGCAAGCAAUCCAACACACAAGCAAACAAGGAAUGAGCAAAAAGGAAAACUGGAAAAGAGGAGGGGAACGGAAAGAGAGGGCGAAAUGAAAAGAGGGUGAAUAAAACAACAAGGGUGAAGUGGGGGAAAGGAAAAUGAGAGGCAAAUGGCAAAUAAUAUAAUGCGAGGGAUAAGAGUUUGUGAUGGGUACUUGGUAUGUCUUGACUUGUGCGUAGACUCCAGCAACGGUGCCAAAAAUGGCUCGUUGUUGGGAGUCAAAUUUUGACUUGACUUGCGCGAAUCUUCCCGGCAAUGGCGCCAGAAAUCCUUCUUGCUACCUCCUUAGCACUGCGUUGGUUUUCCCUUGAAGAGGAAAGAGUGAUGCAGCAAAGUAGCCUAAGUAUUUCCCUCAGUUUUUGAGAACCAAGGUAUCAAUCCAGUAGGAGAUAGUGCUUGAGUCCCACGCACCUACACAAACAAAUAAGAACCUCGCAACCAACGCGAUAAAGGGGUUGUCAAUCCCUUCACGGUCACUUACGAGAGUGAGAUCUGAUAGAUAUGAUAAGAUAAUAUUUUUGGUAUUUUUAUGAUAAAGAGAAAUAAAGAUGCAAAGUAAAAUAAACAUCGAAGGAAAUAACUAACUAUCCGUAGAUUAAUAUGAUGGAACAUAGACCCCGGGGGCCAUAGGUUUCACUAGUGGCUUCUCUCAAGAGCAUAAGUAUUAUGGUGGGUAAACGAAUUACUGUCGAGCAAUUGAUAGAAUUGAGCAUAGUUGUGAGAAUAUCUAGGUAUGAUCAUCUAUAUAGGCAUCACGUACGCGACAAGUAGACCGAAACGAUUCUACAUCUACUACUAUUACUCCACACAUCGACCGCUAUCCAACAUGCAUCUAGAGUAUUAAGUUCAUAAGAACAGAGUAAUGCUUUAAGUAAGAUGACAUGAUGUAGAGGGAUAAACUCAUGCAAUAUGAUAUAAACCCCAUCUUUUUAUCCUCGAUGGCAACAAUACAAUAUGUGUUGGUUCCCUUUCUGUCACUGUGAUCGAGCACCGCAAGAUUGAACCCAAAGCUAAGCACUUCUCCCAUUGCAAUAAAGAUCAAUCUAGUAGGCCAAACCAAACUGAUAAUUCGAAGAGACUUGCAAAGAUAAACCAAUCAUACAUAAAAGAAUUCAGAGGAGACUCAAAUAUUGUUCAUAGAUAAACUUGAUCAUAAACCCACAAUUCAUCGAAUCUCGACAAACACACCGCAAAAGAAGAUUAUGUCGAAUAGAUCUCCAAGAUGAUCGAGGAGAACUUUGUAUUGAGAUUCAAAGAGAGAGAAGAAGCCAUCUAGCUAAUAACUAUGGACCCGAAGGUCUGACGUAAACUACUCACACAUCACCGGAGAGGCCAUGAAGUUGAUGUAGAGGCCCUCCAUGAUCAAUGCCCUCUCCGGCGGAGCUCCGUAAAAGGCCCCAAGAUGGGAUCUCUUGGGUAUAGAAGGUUGCGGUGGUGGAAUUAGGUUUUCGUGGUGCUCCUGGAUGUUUGGAGGAUACGUGGAUAUAUAUAGGAGGAAGAUGUACGUCGGUGGAGCAAGGAGGGGCCCACGAGGGUGGAGGGCGCGCCCCCUGCAUCGUGCCCGCCUCGAUCGUUUCUUGACACCCACUCCAAGUCUCCUGGAUCACAUUUGUUGAGAAAAUCACGUUCCGGAAGGUUUCAUUCCGUUUGGACUCCAUUUGAUAUACCUUUUCUUCGAAACCCUAAAAUAUUCAAAAAAACAGCAAUUUCGGCUGGGCCUCCGGUUAGUAGGUUAGUACCAAAAAUGAUAUAAAAGUGUAAAAUAAAGCCCAUUAAUAUCCAAAAUAGCUAAUAUAAUAGCAUGGAGCAAUCAAACAUUAUAGAUACGUUGGAGACGUAUCAAUCCACGUGUGACGCAGAGUACAUAGCUGCUUCGGAAGCAGCAAAUGAAGGAGUUCAUAUCUGAUCUAGGUGUAAUACCUAGUGCAUCGGGUCCAAUGAAAAUCUUUUGUGACAAUACUGGAGCAAUAGCCUUGGCGAAGGAAUCCAGAUUUCACAGGAGAACCAACACUACUAGAAAAAGGCCUGUUAGUGGCGCACCUAUUUUGGCCAUUAAUGGCGCACUAUAGGUGCGCCACUAUUACCACGCCACUAGUAAAAGAUACUAAUGGCGCACUAGAGAUGCGCCAUUAGUAUACCAGAUAAUAGUGGCGCACCUGGCAGUGCGCAAUUACUAUGUCCAAUAGCGCGCCCUUACUAUGCCUCCUAGGGGGCCAUAUUUACCUUCAUGUAUGCCCCCAACUAUGCUAUUACUAUGCCCCGUAAUGCGCCACUGGUAUUUAGCCUUGGUGCGCCACUACUAUGAAUAUUAGGAAUUUUUUUUGCUUUUCUGAUAUUUGCACAAGUUACAAAAUACAUUAUAGCACAGAAUAUAAAAAGCAGAUUUAUCGAAUACAAUAGAAGAUUAGUCUCUGAAUACAAUUCAUCAUAUUAGUCACCGAAUUCAAAAUAUCGAACAAACUUAGAACAUUACAAGUCUCAAGACCGCGAGUAGCGAGUUUGUCUUCACAUUACAAGUGGAUAUCUAAACUACCAUCACAUAGAAGAGAGUUGCGGUCACGAUGAGCAUCAUCGCGAUGAAACUGAUAUUCAUCUGGUUCCUCCUCUGCUCCCUCCUCUCUCCCGCUAGAUAGCGCGCGUAUCUAGCUUCCGCCUCCGCCCUAGUGGUGUACCCUUUGUAACUGUUACUGCUAAAAUGGUGAACCUCUCUCCAACACUCCUCCCAGUCGUCGUAGACUCCGGGAACUAUACCCUUGUACACGACAUACGACGGCAUCUCUAUGCACUAGACAAACAAAACGCUAGUAGCAAUUCACAGACAAUAUAUAAGCAAUAUAUAAGUAUGCAACAAAAGGAUCAGAAGAGAAAAGCAACACAUUAAUAGCACGAUUCAUGGUCCUACUAAUAAAUAGCAUCGAUUACAUAUAAGUUGAACGACUGUCCAAACCAAAGAGAAAUACAAGUUCAUUAAAGUUUAAUUACAACAUCAUCUAAUCGAUAUUACAGAACUAUAUAACAUCAUUACUUUCGACUCAACACAGGGACCAGAGCGUGGAUGAAGCCGCCAUCUUUCGUGAUGGUCAUGAAAUAGCGAUCGUUGUCAGCCUGCAUUUAUAGCGUUGUUUCUGUUUCACUGUUGGACGGUUGAUAUUUGAGGUAGAGCUGCCCUGAGGUAUGAAGGACAUCUUGAUGGAGGAUUUCCGCAAACUCCGUCUGGAUGCGAAAGAAUUCUUGUCUGAUGUCUGCGUCCUGGAUUGCCGACAAGCUUGCGGCCCAAUCUUUGAGAUUAUUUGGUAGCAGAAGGUGAUUAUGGUCCCAUACGAUCGCCCGCAUGUGAUGGAGGGCGUGGUAGGCAUCCUUCUGACCGCCAAGCGGCUUCUUGAUGCAGGGGAACGUCGUUACGUGGGUGAACACGUGCUUGCCAUACCUACAAAUUGGCCUCCUGAAGGUGCCUCCAGAUUUGGCUUAGUCGGGGAGAGCAUCAUCAAGAACUUUCUUGAUAUUUGUGUACUCUUUCUUCGACUGGCGGUCCGAGUCGAAAUACGUGGCCAUGGAAUAUUUUGGGCUUAAGAGGAUGAGUGUGCAAUGUGUGUCACUGCACAAAACACGGAAUGUUAGAAAAAAAAGAACGAUCGAAAUCUAAGAAAUCAUAUGUCACUACUAGGAAAAGGCAUGUUAAUGGCGCACCUGUUUUGGCCAUUAAUGGCGCACUACAGGUGCGCCACUAUCAUCACGCCAUUAGUAACUAAUACUAAUGGCGCACCCCUGGUGCGCCAUUAGUAUAUCAGAUAGUAGUGGCGCACCAGGCAGUGCGCCAUUAGUAUGUCCCAUGGUGCGCCAUUAGUAUGCCUCCCAGGGGCCAUAUUUACCUUCUGCUCUGGGUUACUAAUGGCGCACUAACAGACAAUGCGCCACUAGUAUUUUUACAGCAGUGCACCACUAAUGUGCCGUAUGGUGUGCCACUAGUAUGAAUAUUAGAAUUUUUUUUCUUUUCUGAUAUUUGCACAGGUUACAAAAUAUAUUACUGCACAGAAUAUAGACAGCACCACACAGCAACAGCAGAUUUAUCGAAUACAAUAGAAGAUUAGUCUCCGAAUACAAUUCAUCAUAUUAGCUAGUCUCCAAACUCAAAAUACCGAGCAAAGUUAGAACAUUACAAGUCUUGAGACCGCAAGUAGCGAGUUUGUCUUCACAUUACAAGUCGAUAUCGAUCAUCUAAACUACCAUCACAUAGAAGAGAGUUGCGGUCAUCACGAUUAGCAUAAUCGCGAUGAAACUGGUCUUCAUCCGGUUCCUCCUCUGCUCCCUCCUCUCUCCCGCUAGAUAGCGCGCGUAUCUAGCAUCCGCCUCCCCCCUAGUGGUGUAUGAUACGUCUCCAACGUAUCUAUAAUUUUUGAUUGCUCCAUGCUACUUUAUCUACUAUUUUGGACUAUGUUGGGCUUUAUUUUCCACUUUUUAUUUAUUUUUGGGACUAACCUAUUAACCGGAGACCCAGCCCAGAAGUGAUGUUUUUUGCCUAUUUCAGUAUUUCGAGGAAACAGAAUAUCAAACGGAGUCCAAACGGAAUGAAACCUUCGGGAACGUGAUCUUCUCACCGAACGUGAUCCAGGAGACUUGGACCCUACUCCAAGAAGUUUCCGGGGAGGUCACGAGGGUGGAGGGCGCCCCCCCUGGGCGCGCCCCCUGCCUCAUGGGCCCCUCGGAGCUCCACCGACGUGCUCCUUCCUCCUAUAUAUACCUACGUACCCCCAUUAGACCAGAGGGAGAGAGCCAAAAAAACCUAAUUCCACCACCGCAACUUCCUGUAUCCACAAGAUCCCAUCUUGGGGCCUGUUUCGGAGCUCCGCCAGAGUGGGCACCCAUCACGGAGGGCUUCUACAUCAACACCAUAGCCCUUCCGAUGAGGUGUGAGUAGUUUACUUCAGACCUUCGGGUCCAUAGCUAGUAGCUAGAUGGCUUCUUCUCUCUUUUUGGAUCUCAAUACAAUGUUCUCCCCCUCUCUCGUGGAGAUCUAUUCGAUGUAAUCUUCUUUUUGCGGUGUGUUUGUUGAGACCGAUGAAUUGUGGGUUUAUGAUCCAACUUAUCUAUCAAUAAUAUUUGAAUCUUCUCUGAAUUCUUUUAUGUAUGAUUGAGUUAUCUUUGCAAGUCUCUUCGAAUUAUCCGUUUGGUUUGGCCAACUAGAUUGGUAGUUCUUGCAAUGGGAGAAGUGCUUAGCUUUGAGUUCAAUCUUGCAGUGUCCUUACUCAGUGACAGAAAGAGUUGCAAGGCACGUAUUGUAUUGUUUCCAUCGAGGAUAACAAGAUGGGGUAUUUAUCAUAUUGCAUGAAUUUAUUCCUCUACAUCAUGUCAUCUUGCUUAAGGCGUUACUCUGUUUUUAACUUAAUACUCUAGAUGCAUGCUGGAUAGCGGUCGAUGAGUGGAGUAAUAGUAGUAGAUGCAGGCAGGAGUCGGUCUACUUGUCACGAACGUGAUGCCUAUAUACAUGAUCAUACCUAGAUAACCUCAUAACUAUGCUCAAUUCUAUCAAUUGCUCAACAGUAAUUGGUUCACCCACCGUAGAAUAUCUAUGCUCUUGAGAGAAGCCACUGGUGAAACCUAUGGCCCACGGGUCUAUUCUCAUCAUAUCAAUCUCCAUUACUUUAUUUUACUUGUUUUGCUUUUACUUUUUACUUUGCAUCUGUAUACCAAAAAUACCAAAAAUAUUAUCUCUAUCAGAUCUCACUCUCAUAAGUGACCGUGAAGGGAUUGACAACCCCUAAGCGUUGGUUGCGAGUUGCUACCGUUUUGUGUAGGUACGAGGGACUUGCGCGUGACCUCCUACUGGAUUGAUACCUUGGUUCUCAAAAACUGAGGGAAAUACUUACGCUACUGUGCUGCAUCACCCCACUCCUCUUCGGGGAAAACCAACGCUAGCUCGAGACGUAGCAAGAAGGAUUUCUGGCGUCGUUGCCGGGGAGGCCUACGCCAAGUCAAGUCAAGAUUUACUCUCCCGUCAAUGAGCCAUUUCUGGCGCCGUUGCCGGGGAGGCCUACGCCAAGUCAAGUCAAGAUUUACUCUCCCGUCAACGAGCCAUUUCUGGCGCCGUUGCCGGGGAAGCCUAUGCAAAAGUCAACAUACCAAGUACCCAUCACAAUCUCUAUCUCUCGCAUUACAUUAUUUGCCAUUUGCCUCUCGUUUUCCUCUCCCCCACUUCACCCUUGCCGUUUUAUUCGCCCUCUCUUUCCCUUUGCCUUUUGUUUGCUCGUGUGUUAGUUUGCUUGCUUGUUCGUCAUGAUGGCCUUACCUAAUUUUGGUGAUCUUCACCUUAAAAGGCUAGAAGAUAUCGAAAACAAUGUCAGGAAGUUUAUGGUCUUGCAAUUUGAGCAUAAUAAUUUCUUUAGAAAUGAGCUUAUGGAACAAAAGAGUUUUAUGAGUUAUAUGAAUAAAGAGCUCGAUGAUAUGUCCAAAGAAUUUGAUGGUGUAAGAGCCCAAAUUGCUCAUCUUGAAAAAAAUACCGAUGAAAUUUCGGAUAUGCAAGCCACCUUAGUCAAUAAGAUGGCCGCUAAACCGAAUAACUAUGAAAAUCAAGAUGAAGAUCUAAAAGUUAUUGAUGUGUCCCCUAUUAAAUCUUUGUUUUGCAAUAUGAAUCUUGAUGAAUCUGAUUAUGAUCUUCCCUUACCUAGAAGGCGUUCUAAGAAUUCUGAGUUUUUAGAUCCUGAUGAUGAAAUUGAUAAAAAAGGGAUUGAAAGAAAUAAAAAUCUAGAUAUUGCUAAACCCACUAUUUUGGAUCUCAAGGAAUUUAACUAUGAAAAUUGCUCUUUAAUUGAUUGUAUUUCCUUGUUGCAAUCCGUGUUAAAUUCUCCUCAUGCUUAUAGUCGAAAUAAGGCCUUUACCGAACACAUUGUUGACGCCUUAAUGCAAUCUUAUGAAGAAAAGCUUGAGUUGAAAGUUUCCAUCCCUAGAAAACUCCAUGAUGAGUGGGAACCUAUAAUUAAGAUUAAAAUUAAAAAUUACGAGUUUUAUGCUUUGUGUGAUUUGGGUGCUAGUGUCUCUGCUAUCCCCAAAGCUUUGUGUGAUUUGCUAGAUUUCCGUGACUUUGAUGAUUGCUCUCUAAACUUGCAUCUUGCGGAUUUCACUAUUAAAAAGCCUAUGGGAAGAAUUAAUGAUGUUCUUAUUGUUGAAAAUAGUAAUUAUGUGCCCGUAGAUUUUAUCGUUCUUGAUAUAGAUUACAAUCCUUCAUGUCCUAUUAUUCUUGGUAGACCUUUCCUUAGAACGAUUGGUGCAAUUAUUGAUAUGAAGGAAGGGAAUAUUAAAUUCCAAUUUCCCUUAAAGAAGGGCAUGGAACACUUUCCUAGAAAGAAAAUAAAAUUACCAUAUGAAUCUAUCAUGAGAGCCACUUAUGGAUUGCCUACUAAAGAUGGCAAUACCUAGAUCUAUCCUUGCUUUUAUGCCUAGCUAGGGGCGUUAAACGAUAGCGCUUGUUGGGAGGCAACCCAAUUUUAUUUUUUGUUUUUUGUUUUUGUUUCUGUUUAGGAAUAAAUAAUCCAUCUAGAUUCUGUUUAGAUGUGGUUUUAUCUUUUAAUUAGUGUUUGUGCCAAGUUAAAUCUAUUAGAUCUUCUUGGAAGAUAGUUAUUUGAUCUUGCUGUAAUUUCCAGAAUCUUUGCGCUCAGUGCCCGAAUUGUCAAAAAUCACCAGAACGUGAUAAAAUAGUAAUUCCAAUUGCUGCUGAUCAAUAAACAAAUUUCCCAGGUCGUCUAAUUUUGGUAGAAUUGUUUGGGUUCCAGAAGUUUUCGUUAGUAACAGAUUACUACAGACUGUUCUGUUUUUGACAGAUUCUGUUUUGCGUGUGUUGUUUGCUUAUUUUGAUGAAUCUAUGGCCAGUAAAAUAGUUUAUAAACCAUAGAGAAGUUGGAAUACAUUAGGUUUAACACCAAUACAAAUAAAGAACAAGUUCACUACAGUACCUUAAAGUAGUCUUUUGUUUUCUUUCUUUAACGGAGCUCACGAGAUUUCUAUUGAGUUUUGUGUUGUGAAGUUUUCAAGUUUUGGGUGAAUUAUUUUGAUGGAUUAUGGAACAAGGAGUGGCAAGAGCCUAAGCUUGGGAUGCCCAUGGCACCCCCAAGAUAAUCCAAGGACACCAAAAAUUCAAAGCUUGGGGAUGCCCCGGAAGGCAUCCCCUCUUUCGUCCACUUCCAUCGGUAAUUUACUUGGAGCUAUAUUUUUAUUCACCACAUGAUAUGUGUUUUGCUUGGAGCGUCUUGUAUUAUUUGUGUCUUUGCUUGUUAGUCUACCACAAUCAUCCUUGCUGUACACACCUUUUGAGGGAGCCAUGUAUGAAUUGAAAAUUGUUAGAAUACUCUAUGUGCUUCACUUAUAUCUUUUGAGCGUGAUAAUUUUUGCUCUAGUGCUUCACUUAGAUCUUUUAGAGCACGGUGGUGGUUUGUUUUAAAGAAACUUGAUCUCUCAUGCUUCACUUAUAUUAUUUUGAGAGUCGUUAAUAUCAUGGUAAUUUGCUUAAUGUUAAUAUACUUGGUAUUCAAGAUAUGUGAAACUUUCUUUUUAGUGGGUUGAAUACUAAGAUAAGUUUGAUGCUUGAUAAUUUUUUUGAGAUAUGGAGGUGAUAAUAUCAUAGUCGUGCUAGUUGAGUAGUUGUGAAUUUGAUAAAUACUUGUGUUGAAGUUAGCAAGUCCCGUAGCAUGCACGUAUGGUUAAAGUUGUGUAACAAAUUUGAAACAUGAAGUGUACCUGGCUUGUGCAUCCUUAUGAGUGGCAGUCGGGGACGAGCGAUGGUCUUUUCCUACCAAUCUAUCCCCCUAGGAGCAUGCGCGUAGUACUUGAUUUUUGAUGACUUCUAAAUUUUUGCAAUAAGUAUAUGAGUACUUUUGUCUAAUGUUGAGUCCAUGGAUUAUACGCACUUUUACCUUUCCGCCAUUUGCUAGCCUCUUCGGUACCGUGCAUUGCCCUUUCUCACAUUGAGAGUUGGUGCAAACUUCGCCGUUGCAUCCAAACCCCGUGAUAUGAUACACUCUUUCACACAUAAACCUCCCUAUAUCUUCCUCAAAACAGCCACCAUACCUACCUAUCAUGGCAUUUCCAUAGCCAUUCCGAGAUAUAUUGCCAUGCAACUUCCAUCAUCAUCAUCAUCAUCAUCAUGACAUGCUUUACUUUUGUCAUAUUGCCAUUGCAUGAUCUUGUAGUUGACAUCGUAUUUGUGGCAAAGCCACCAUGAAUUAUUUUUCAUACAUGUCACUCUUGAUUCAUUGCACCAUCCCGAUAGACCGCCGGAGGCAUUCAUAUAGAGUCAUAUCUUGUUCUAGUAUCGAGUUGUAAUCAUUAUGUUGUAAUCAAUAGAAGUGUGAUGGUCAUCAUUAUUAGAGCAUUGCCCAAUCAAAAAAAGAGAGAAAGGCCAAAAAGAAAAAAAGAAAGACCCAAAAAAAGAGAAAAUAAAAAGGUCAAUGCUACUAUCUCUUUUUCCACACUUGUGCUUCAAAGUAGCACCUUGUUCUUCAUGUAGUGAGUCUCAUAUAUUGUGCUUCAAAGUAGCACCAUGAUUUUCAUAUAGUGAGUCUCAUAAGUUGUCUUGUUCAUACUAGUGGGAAUUUUUCAUUAUAGAACUUGGCUUGUAUAUUCCAACGAUGGGCUUCCUCAAAAUGCCCUAGGUCAUCAUGAGCAAGCAAGUUGAAUGCACACCCACUAGUUUUCUUUUGUUGAGCAUUCUUAGCUCUAGUGCAUCCGUUGCAUGGCAAUCCCUACUCCUUGCAUUAACAUCAAUUGAUGGGCAUCUCCAUAGCUCAUUGAUUAGCCUCAUUGAUGUGAGACUUUCUCCUUUUUUGUCUUCUCCACACAAUCCCCAUCAUCAUAUUCUAUACCACCCAUAGUACUAUGUCCAUGUCUAGCGCUCAUGUAUUGCGUGAAGGUUGAAAAAGUUUGAGAUUGUUUGAGUAUGAAACAAUUGCUUGGCUUGUCAUCGGGGGUAUAGCAGUUGGGAACAUAUUUGUGUGACGAAAAUGAAGCAUAGCCUAACUAUAUGAUUUUGUAGGGAUACUUCCUUUGGCCAUGUUAUUUUGAGAAGACAAAAUUGUUUAAUUAGUAUGCUUGAAGUAUUAUCAUUUUUAUGUCAAUAUGAACUUUUGUCUUGAACCUUUCGGAUCUGAAUAUUCAUACCAUGAUUAAGAAGAUUUACAUUGAAAUUAUGCCAAAGUAUCACUCCGCAUCAAAAAUUCUCUUUUUAUCAUUUACCUACUCGAGGACGAGCAGGAAUUAAGCUUGGGGAUGCCUGAUACGUCUCCAACGUAUCUAUAAUUUUUGAUUGCUCCAUGCUACUUUAUCUACUGUUUUGGACUAUAUUGGGCUUUAUUUUCCACUUUUAUAUUAUUUUUGGGACUAACCUAUUAACCGGAGGCCCAUCCCAGAAUUGCUGUUUUUUUGCCUAUUUCAGUAUUUCGAGGAAACAUAAUAUCAAACGGAGUCCAAACGGAAUGAAACCUUCAGGAACGUGAUCUUCUCACCGAACGUGAUCCAGGAGACUUGGACCCUACUCCAAGAAGUUUCCGGGGAGGUCACGAGGGUGGAGGGCGCCCCCCCUAAGUGCGCCCCCUGCCUCGUGGGCCCCUUGGAGCUCCACCAACGUGCUCCUUCCUCCUAUAUAUACCUACGUACCCCCAUUAGACCAGAGGGAGAGAGCCAAAAAAGCCUAAUUCCACCGCCACAACUUCCUGUACCCACGAGAUCCCAUCUUGGGGCCUGUUCUGGAGCUCCGCCGGAGAGGGCAUCCAUCACGGAGGGCUUCUACAUCAACACCAUAGCCCUUCCGAUGAAGUGUGAGUAAUUUACUUCAGACCUUCGGGUCCAUAGAUAGUAGCUAGAUGGCUUCUUCUCUCUUUUUGGAUCUCAAUACAAUGUUCUUCCCCUCUCUCGUGGACAUCUAUUCGAUGUAAUCUUCUUUUUGCGGUGUGUUUGUUGAGAUCGAUGAAUUAUGGGUUUAUGAUCCAACUUAUCUAUGAAUAAUAUUUGAAUCUUCUCUGAAUUCUUUUAUUUAUGAUUGAGUUAUCUUUGCAAGUCUCUUCGAAUUAUCCGUUUGGUUUGGCCAACUAGAUUGGUAGUUCUUGCAAUGGGAGAAGUGCUUAGCUUUGGGUUCAAUCUUGCGGUGUCCUUACUCAGUGACAGAAAGAGUUGCAAGGCACGUAUUGUAUUGUUGCCAUCGAGGAUAACAAGAUGGGGUAUUUAUCAUAUUGCAUGAAUUUAUUCCUCUACAUCAUGUCAUCUUGCUUAAGGCGUUACUCUGUUUUUAACUUAAUACUCUAGAUGCAUGCUGGAUAGCGGUCGAUGAGUGGAGUAAUAGUAGUAGAUGCAGGCAGGAGUCGGUCUACUUGUCACAGACGUGAUGCCUAUAUACCUGAUCAUACCUAGAUAACCUCAUAACUAUGCUCAAUUCUAUCAAUUGCUCAACAGUAAUUUGUUCACCCACCGUAGAAUAUCUAUGCUCUUGAGAGAAGCCACUAGUGAAACCUAUGGCCCCCGGGUCUAUUCUCAUCAUAUCAAUCUCCAUUACUUUAUUUUACUUGUUUUUCUUUUACUUUUUACUUUGCAUCUUUAUACCAAAAAUACCAAAAAUAUUAUCUCUAUCAGAUCUCACUCUCNNNNNNNNNNNNNNNNNNNNNNNNNNNNNNNNNNNNNNNNNNNNNNNNNNNNNNNNNNNNNNNNNNNNNNNNNNNNNNNNNNNNNNNNNNNNNNNNNNNNNNNNNNNNNNNNNNNNNNNNNNNNNNNNNNNNNNNNNNNNNNNNNNNNNNNNNNNNNNNNNNNNNNNNNNNNNNNNNNNNNNNNNNNNNNNNNNNNNNNNNNNNNNNNNNNNNNNNNNNNNNNNNNNNNNNNNNNNNNNNNNNNNNNNNNNNNNNNNNNNNNNNNNNNNNNNNNNNNNNNNNNNNNNNNNNNNNNNNNNNNNNNNNNNNNNNNNNNNNNNNNNNNNNNNNNNNNNNNNNNNNNNNNNNNNNNNNNNNNNNNNNNNNNNNNNNNNNNNNNNNNNNNNNNNNNNNNNNNNNNNNNNNNNNNNNNNNNNNNNNNNNNNNNNNNNNNNNNNNNNNNNNNNNNNNNNNNNNNNNNNNNNNNNNNNNNNNNNNNNNNNNNNNNNNNNNNNNNNNNNNNNNNNNNNNNNNNNNNNNNNNNNNNNNNNNNNNNNNNNNNNNNNNNNNNNNNNNNNNNNNNNNNNNNNNNNNNNNNNNNNNNNNNNNNNNNNNNNNNNNNNNNNNNNNNNNNNNNNNNNNNNNNNNNNNNNNNNNNNNNNNNNNNNNNNNNNNNNNNNNNNNNNNNNNNNNNNNNNNNNNNNNNNNNNNNNNNNNNNNNNNNNNNNNNNNNNNNNNNNNNNNNNNNNNNNNNNNNNNNNNNNNNNNNNNNNNNNNNNNNNNNNNNNNNNNNNNNNNNNNNNNNNNNNNNNNNNNNNNNNNNNNNNNNNNNNNNNNNNNNNNNNUAAAAACUUCAAAAAAUAAAAUCCUUCGAGAGGUAGUUAUAUUACUACAUCUACUAGUUAGGAAAAUUUGAAAACUUAAAUUUUGACAUGUUUUGCAAAAAGUGUAGAGAAAAUGUAAAACGGCUAUAACUUGUGCAUACGAUGUCGGAAAAAACGUAUAAUAUAUCAAAAAAUUCAGCACGAAAAUCCGCAUCCGAUGGAGACCGCCUACGACAUGUUUGCAAUUUUUUAGAAUCCUCAAAUUCCAAAAGGAAAAAAAGAUAUGGUCAAAUUUAAGUUUUUUUAAUUUUUUUUUGUUAAAUCUGGUCAAACUACUUAUUCAAGAAGUAUUAAUGUUACUACAUAAUUAUUCAAGAAUAUUAGUGUUACUAAAUAAUUAUUUCAAUUUUUUGAAUUUUGGUCAAACCUGGUCAAACUAUGGUCAAACUAUGGUCAAACUGUGGUCAAACUAUGGUCAAACUCAUUCUUGUCUGAUGUCUGCGUCCUGGAUUGCCGACAAGCUUGCGGCCCAAUCUUUGAGAUUAUGUGGUAGCAGAAGGUGAUUAUGGUCCCNNNNNNNNNNNNNNNNNNNNNNNNNNNNNNNNNNNNNNNNNNNNNNNNNNNNNNNNNNNNNNNNNNNNNNNNNNNNNNNNNNNNNNNNNNNNNNNNNNNNNNNNNNNNNNNNNNNNNNNNNNNNNNNNNNNNNNNNNNNNNNNNNNNNNNNNNNNNNNNNNNNNNNNNNNNNNNNNNNNNNNNNNNNNNNNNNNNNNNNNNNNNNNNNNNNNNNNNNNNNNNNNNNNNNNNNNNNNNNNNNNNNNNNNNNNNNNNNNNNNNNNNNNNNNNNNNNNNNNNNNNNNNNNNNNNNNNNNNNNNNNNNNNNNNNNNNNNNNNNNNNNNNNNNNNNNNNNNNNNNNNNNNNNNNNNNNNNNNNNNNNNNNNNNNNNNNNNNNNNNNNNNNNNNNNNNNNNNNNNNNNNNNNNNNNNNNNNNNNNNNNNNNNNNNNNNNNNNNNNNNNNNNNNNNNNNNNNNNNNNNNNNNNNNNNNNNNNNNNNNNNNNNNNNNNNNNNNNNNNNNNNNNNNNNNNNNNNNNNNNNNNNNNNNNNNNNNNNNNNNNNNNNUACGAUCGCCCGCAUGUGAUGGAGGGCGUAGUAGGCAUCCUUCUGACCGUCAGGCGGCUGCUUGACGCAGGGGAACGUCGUUUUGUGGGCGAGCACAUGCUUGCCGCACCUACAAAUUGGCCUGCUGAAGGUGCCUCCAGAUCUGGCGUAGCCGGGAUAACAUCAUCAAGAACUUUCUUGAUAUUUGUGUAGUCUUUCUUCGACUGACGGUCCGAGUCGAAAUACGUGGCCAUGGAAUAUUUCGGGUUUAAGAGGAUGAGUGUGCAAUGUGUGUCACUGCACAAAACACAGAAUGUUGGAAAAAAAGAAUGAUCGAAAUCUAACAAAUCGUAUGUUACGGGGCAGUGAGGGGUUGACUUACUCGGGAAAGUAAGGCACGAGGAAGUUAUCCUUAUCCGGGUUUGCCAGAAUGACGCCUUCGAGGUAUGAACUCGCGACUUGCCGGUCCCCAGCGCUGCGCAUGAUCAUGGCACACAUGUAGAAGGUGUCGACUAUCACGAUGUCCGGGGUCUUAUCUCUAAUGAUCCGCAUCUCCAUACUCAGCAAAAAUAGCUGAACGAAGGUGUAGUGCAGUGGAUGAAGGUUAAACAUAGCGAAGAUGUCAUCAAACAGCAGGACAAUCAUACCCCCGAUGGCGCUAUCGACAAUGCCCUUGCCCUGUGGCACCUUGGCCAUGAAAACCGGGUAUGCCACAGCAUUUUCGGAGAGGCACCGCUUCUCCAAAGAAAGAACACUGUCAUGCAGACUCCGCAUAGCACUUGUUGCAGCAUUGAGCAGAUUAGUCGGUAGCAUCGGCCUACCCACCACAUGCACCCUCCUUGAGAUAUUCUUAGAUGUAGGUGGCCCGUCCUGAGCACGGAUCAUACUCGGUGCCAGCUGGCUCGUACCCUUGUUAUUCUUUCUUUUUCAUCCCUUCUUCUUCUGUUGUAAUGGGAUCAAGUUCUGCUCAUAGACAUCCUUCUUGAGUGUGUUGGGGCUGAUAAUAUUUGGCACCUCGGCUAUCUGAGGCUCGGUGAAGGUGGCAGCUGGAGGCGUCUCGUCUGAACUGAACGCCAGACGACGCAUGUUGCAACUGGGUUUCUCUGCGGUACCAGCUAGGUCAUCUUUUGCAGGGUUGGGUUCUUGAGAAGGAGACCCCAAGAAUUCGUCACCGUACCCAUGUUCGUUGAAGUAGUUAUCGACGUUGGUAAAUGUACAGUCGUUGUCAUCGUCGGUGUCGUCCGGAUCCUGUGCCAUAUGCAUGUCCGGAUCCUGUGCCAUAUCCAUGUCUGGCAUGUCCAGUAGCGUUGCGGGGGUCUCGCCAUAGCUUGGCGCCGGCACGACUGGCGGUGUUGUCUUUUCGGCCAAAGCAUGGGCUAGUUUAUGCAGGUGCUGAGGGUCAUCACAUCAUCUUCAUCGGCCCAUGGGGUCAAUACGGAGGUAACAUGUCGUCGAAGCCCGGCAGCACCCGAACCAGUUGAACCCUAUAAACGGUGGGUGGCAUCUGAUUACUGUGGAACACGCGGCUGCCCGGUUGAACGAUUCUGCCCUUGGCGACAUCGACCAACUCGUCGUUCAUGAAGUGCAGGAGAGUGCACGGAACGUCGGCGGCGCCCUGUGAAAACAUGUAGGGCGUCAGGGAUGCCCAGUCAAAGGCAAGGAGAUGAAGCCAUCGACCGAGAGUCUUAAUUAGUUACCGUGAUGGCAUCGAGCUCGGCUAAUGUCGAGGCACCGCCAACGGCGGGCGUGCAAGUGACGAAGGGGCCGCUUGCUGCCGAGGUGCCGGCCGGCGUAUUCUUCCCACACCCUGGUGUAUUAAGCUACAAUGUCAGCGCCACCACCGGAGACACCAAUGCCGCCUCCGCCGGAGACACCAAUGGCACCGCCGGCGCGUUGCGCGAGUUGCUGCCCGUGAUGCUGGGAAUCGGGGGCGGCCCCUGUUGGCCGCCCGCAAUCCAUGCUUGCAGCCCAGAAACCAAGGUAGGCAUAAUGGCGGUGAUCGUCGCUCCCCGUUGGUCUCGCACUUGCCCUUCGAUGAUCUCCGGAAUCCGUGCCACUUGUGCCUUGAGUUGUUGAACCUCACGCUCCUGGCUUUCCGAGCUGGUCUUUCCGACCAUUUCUUGGACAAGCCUUUGUCGGCCACACGGCCAGCUGAAGUCGGCUUACUAAGCUUAUCCUUGUUUUUCAUUACGUUCAACGCCCUAUUUAAAGGGUUGUGGAAAAGGGGAGCUCUGAGACGACCCCAUGCUAUUGCUUUCAGUGUCAUGCGGAAGGAACAUGAACCAUUUAGAAAUUUGGCUUCAUUAAUUAGAAUGCAACCAUAUGGAGCUAAUUACGCAGGGGUGUAUUCCUUAUAAGAACACGCUAAAGCGCCUUGGUCUUCGGAUCCGUGGUAAGCUCCUUGGUUACCGGGUCAAUCUUGUACCGGGCCCUGACAUAGUUCCUGGUCUGCUUGUCACGGCAUUUCUCAAAGAAGGGUGGUAGGCCUUGCUCGGCACGCUCCACGUCCUCCUUGUCCCAUAUAGGUUCCGCCACUCUGUAACCGCCGGUACCGAGCUUGUGGACCCCUAAGUUCAAGUCCUGAAUCUCUUUCCCCCACUUGCUUGAUUCCGCAGAUGUGUUUCUCUCGCACUUGAUCUUGGACUCCCGGUAGUCAUCUUCGCUGAUCGAAGGAUUUUUCUCCUUGAUCUUCUCAUAACUAUCACCUUUUUCAAUCAUGCUCUUCACCGAGGCUCUCCAAGUAGCCAGGGCCGUGCUCAUCUUCGUGAGGGCGGCACUGUUCACUUUAUUCCCUGAGAGGCGUGUGUUUGCGAAGUCAACGGGGAACUUGUAUCAUUCGUGCAGCUUCAUGAAGAGGAGGUUGCGCAAAUUCCCUCGGUCACGAUGCCUUAGGUUCUCGGUGUUGAUCGAGACGGUGCUCCGGAGAACGCACCCGAGCUAUCCCUUGUACCCCUUGACUAUUUCUUUGGGCGUCAUUUGAUGCCCCUCGGAGGACACUUCAGUAAAUUCCUCCUUGACGGUAUCGAGCACGUUCGGGCGCCGGUCCUUCCGUUGCCUCUUCGGUUGGCUGCCAUGUGUGCGUGCGCCGCCAUCAUCAGUGGUGGCAUCCUCGGUGGCACAAUCAAUGGUGUCAUCCCCGACGCCACUAGGGGUUGUGUAGUCGGGAUCGGUGUCUUCCUCGGCGUCCUCAUAGCGGUGAGGUUCUUCCUCCAUCUCCUGGGACAGCUCGCAAAAUGCCUUGCCCGAAUCGCCGGCCUCAUCGUUGUGGGCCAUGUUUCGCUCUAAAUAGGGAAAAAAUUGGUCAAAAAGUUGGUUAUUGUCAAGGAACAAGAUCAUGGUCUCAUCAUUUAGGGUUUGUCGACACCGAGGCAUCCUAAAAGCUAAGCUUUUAUCAUUUAGGGUUUGUCGACGCCGAGGCACCGUAAUAGCCUAAGCUUUCAUCAUUUAGGUUUUUAUCGACACCGGGGCACCCUAAAAGCCAAGGUUUUAUCAUUUAGGGUUUGUCGACGCUGAGGCCCAUGCAUAACACAAGAGGUAGUUGAUCCCACUUAAUUAAGUACUAAGAUACCCCGGCCCGUGCAUUAGUCGCAAGUACCCCAUAUGUCCUAUUUUUAGCAAAGUCAUGCUAAAAUUCACGGAAAAUUUUAGCAUGAACUUUGCUGAAAAUAAGACAUAUGGAGUACACGAAUUUGCCGGAACAGAAGUUAAUCGACAUUCCGGCAAACUCAAGGGCCUCUCGGGGUACCUGCAAAAUCAUCACGACAUGAUGGUCGGAGACAAAACCAAGCAAACUAGCACCACAAUGUGCCUCUACUUUCAUAUGGAGGUGUUGCAACAACGAAAAUACUUUAUCACAUUAUAAGUCCUCACAACAUCAACUAUGACAAAAUCUGAGAGUAUAAGUUUGGUUACAUUCACCCAAGUCCAAACAUAAAAUUAUGUCCAACAUAGUAUAGUCCAACACAUCAGCACUUGAGAUUAAGCACUUUUAGGUUUCCUGAUUCCUCAAGAGAGAAUAAGUAGAGAGUAUCCUAAACUGAGUAAACAUGAGUAUCCAUAAUAGUUAUUUGCUUAAUCUCAAGUUUGACAUAUACGAUAGUGAUAGAUGUAAGAAGCAGAACAAUGCCAAAGCCACAACCUCAAAUCUGGAACAAAAACACAAAUUACACCUAUAGAUUUAGGUACCUCUAUGGUAGUAACAUGCCAGCUUGGCCAUGCUCUGUCUAGAGCUACCGUAGCACUAUGCACCCCUUAACGGUAUACUAUAGUAGGUUACUAUUUGACAUCAGUGUGAAAAGAGUAGAAGAGCUUAUGGCAAAAAGAACAUUCAGGUGCAUGAUGAUCAGGUAUCUCAACUACAGUGUUGUUCUGAUCAGGAACAGUGUUCAAUAUAAACAUGUGAAUCAACAAUAUUAAGGUGUGAUUAUAAUAUCUGGAUGAUAAUUAACAUAGGAAUCAUGAGUAGCAAACAAGUGAUAACACCAAGAUGAUGAUUAGAACAUACUCCUAGUACUAAUCAAACCUAGACCCAGCCACUUCCUAUCACAAAGCGUUCGACGAGAAGACCAAUAUAGAUUUCUGGAAAUAGACUAUGAAGGUUGGCACAGACAAGACCUACAGUAGCAAUGACAAUAGACUACCUGACAUUGGAAUCAAUGUAGUAAAAUGGACACAAUAAAUUUCAAUCAUGAAAGCAUUAAGCACUGCUCUGCAAAUGCAGUCUCAAUAGUCUUAGAUACAUAAAUAAACCAGUGUAGCAAUCAUCAUCUGCCAAAAUUUGACAUACAUAAGACUUUCUAAGUACUAGAAGAUACAUAAGAUAAUACUCUCAGUAGCAGAUGAACAACAACGAAAAUAAGACACUCAACGCGAAGGCGUGGAGCAACCUCACCCAUGCCCGUCUGUAGCCGAACUCCUUGAAUAGGAAGGUGAACAGUACGAUAAAAAGCGACAUGAAUGGUGUUUCCCCCACAAGCCA
rnacentral:lncRNA from 1 species